rnacentral:lncRNA from 1 species
AAUUAAAUAGUGUGAAACAAAUGGUAAAUGGAAAAAGCUUAAAAUUUCUUACAUAUUAUAUAACAUCAUUCCUUGUAGAAAUAAGAAGCCAUAUAAUAGUAUUUUGCAAUAUGCUAAUAUAAAAUAUUGGUUCUAAAAUAGUUUUAUAUCAUAUUUCAUGUAAGAAUGUAUGAAAAAGCAUAUUAGAGUAAAAGCAUAUUAAAAUUCUUAAGAAAUUUUAUGUUUCUAUAUUAACAUGUAACAAAAAAUCAUUGGAAUUUUGCUGUAAGUUAAACUAUGAUAUUGGAUGAUUUUAAAAUUUGCGUGUUAGAAAAAUCUCUCUACCUUUGCUACUGGUGAGUGAGUCACUAGAAGAACAGGAGUCUAAUGCAAUUUCUAAGGCUAGGUACACUAUAAGCUGCAUUAAGAUACUGCAGUGACAGUGGGUUUAGAAAACAAUGGUUCAGUACAUAGCACUUUAAGAAGGGAAGAUCUUUAAUAUUACAGUGAUGAGUGGAUAUAGGUUUAUGGAGAAAGACUCCAGAAUGACUCAAAUUUUUGGUUCAACUGGGCUUAUUAUAUUAUUCACCCAAAUACCCCACAACUGGGAGGAGCCAAUAUCAUUGUAGAUGGCAGGGAAGUGGAGAGAGCUAGAGAGAGAGAAAUGAUUAUGAGUUUGACUUUGAAUUUGUUGAGUUAGAGAUUCUAUGGGACAUCAGACUGUAGUUGACAAAUGUGUGUCAGAAAUCAGGGCUGGGGAUAAAGCAAUGGGAGAUAGGGGAGUAAUCAGCAUUUAUUUUUGUCUGAGUCCCUUGCUGUGCAAAUGACUUUAUAUACAUUUUUACUCUUCAUCUUCUAAAAAAUCUUGGGUUAAGUUCUCAUAUCCCAUCUUAGCAAUGAGCUUUCAGAGGGCCCAUGGAUGCAAAGACUGUUUCCCAAAUUUUCCUACAGAGUUACAAAGUUAAGCAGUAAAUGCCAAAACUUCAGCUCAAGUCCAGGUCUGACUUUCUGCAAAUCCUGUGUUGGAGACCCCCUGAGAUGUGCUGUUCACGUUGAGCAGCUGAGAGAAAUGGAGCGGCCCAAACAGAGCUCUGGGAAACAUCCACAUUAAAAAUGCAGAAAGGAAGACCU